AGAUAAAAUAAAAUAAAAUAAAAGGAAAUAAAAUAGAAUAAAAAUCAAAUCAAAUAAGAUCAAAUCAAAUCAAAUCAAAUCAAAAUAAAAGAAAAUAAAAUAAAAUCAAAUAAAAAUAAAAUAAAAUAAAACAAAAUAAAAAAACUCAAGAAUUGGGUUCAAGAUAUUAUUUUCUUUUUGUUGAAUUUUUUUAGGAACUUAAUAUAACUAGGAACCCGUUGCAGUGUCCCAAUCAUAGGAACUUUAAUCUCCAAUUUCUUGAAGAUUUCCAUAAAACACUUAAACUGUUUUUCCUUUUUCUUCCUAUGAUCCUUCUUUGGGUGAGGAAGGGGUUUUUCAUAUGAUUCUUUCUUUUUGCUUUCAUCCUUCCCCUCUUUCUUUUUCUCCUUGGGACAUUCUUUAGGACAAAAAGGACUUUUCUCAAUUUUUUUCUCUUCUCUCUCAACUUCUUCUUUUUCUUCCUCUACAUCUCUCUCUUCUUCACUCAUACUUUCUUUUUCUUCUCUCUACUUUUUUCUUCUCCUCUUUCUCUUCUUCUUCUUACUCCUCAUCGCUCAAACUCUCUUCUUCUUUUAUCUCUAUUUUUCUCUCAUCCUCUCUCUUUUCUUCUUUUUCUCUUUCCUCAUCUAGAACUUGGUCACUUUCAAUGAUAACAUCUUUGCAUUCCUUAUCAGGCUUCUCGUUGUUUGUGAUCUCAUUCAGCAUCUGACUUAGGACCUUGCACUGAGCCCCAAAAUUUUGUGAUGAGGCCUGAAUGUUUUUCCGAAAUGAGAUAGAGUCCUUCAGGAAUUGUUGGAGAGUCUCUUCAAGUUUGUAGUGCUAUCAGCUUGUGGUGGACUAGUGAAUAGUCCUUCAGCUUGCCCAUAUUGAUUUUGAUUUAUGCUUAGGUAAGGUUCCUACCAGUAGUUGAAAUUAUCCUGGUAAAAUUGCAUCUUGUUUAAAGCAUAUUGUAAUACCUGCACAAAAAUUCUAGAGAGAGAUUAUUAUUUUUUUUAUAUAAAAAUGGAAAUUGGGGAUUGAAAAAUAAAAAUAAAAAUGGAAAACUAAAAUUGAUGGAAUAAAAUAAAAUAAAAUAAAAUAAAAUAAAAUAGAAUAAAACAAAGUCAAAAUUAAUCAAGAAUCACACAAAUAGAAUAGCUUAAACAGUGAGUCCCCGGCAACGGCGGCAAAAACUUGUUGGGGCAAAUCGACAAGUGUACCGAGUCGCACAAGUAAUAUAAAAUGGUAAGACAAGUAUCGUAUCCCAAAGGACUCUCGGCG
rnacentral:lncRNA from 1 species